rnacentral:rRNA from 1 species
GUGAGCCAGUACAGGAUGGACCCGCGUCUGAUUAGCUAGUUGGUAAGGUAACGGCUUACCAAGGCGACGAUCAGUAGCCGACCUGAGAGGGUGAUCGGCCACAUUGGAACUGAGACACGGUCCAAACCCCUACGGGAGGCAGCAGUGGGGAAUAUUGCACAAUGGGCGAAAGCCUGAUGCAGCAACGCCGCGUGAGUGAUGAAGGCCUUCGGGUCGUAAAACUCUGUCCUCAAGGAAGAUAAUGACGGUACUUGAGGAGGAAGCCCCGGCUAACUACGUGCCAGCAGCCGCGGUAAUACGUAGGGGGCUAGCGUUAUCCGGAUUUACUGGGCGUAAAGGGUGCGUAGGCGGUCUUUCAAGUCAGGAGUGAAAGGCUACGGCUCAACCGUAGUAAGCUCUUGAAACUGGGAGACUUGAGUGCAGGAGAGGAGAGUGGAAUUCCUAGUGUAGCGGUGAAAUGCGUAGAUAUUAGGAGGAACACCAGUUGCGAAGGCGGCUCUCUGGACUGU